ACCCACAGUAAAACCAUCCGCGGUCCCUAGGGAAACGCCACGACCGUCACAAUGAGAGGGCGUUUCGUACGCACAGGUGUGAGGGGGCGCGUCCCCUUCCAGCUCCGGGCCCUGCUGAGCCGUGGAGAUGGGGCUCCGGUCCCCCUCCCAAAGGUCACUGGCAGUCCCCUGAGGCGUGGGGGGCGCAGUCUGUGAGCGCGGCCCUCCCGCUGUUAGAUUAGCGACGGCGGCGGGUAUGGGAACCGAGCGCGCCCAGUGCGUAGCAGGAGCCCGUGACAUCUCCCCGCCGCGCCGGGCCAGUGGCGUCGUGGGCACCGAGCCCCGCCAGGCAACGUCCCACGGUCUGGCCCCCACGGCCGUCCCCACUCCGCCCGGCACGCAGGCAUCCUGGAAUAUCGCUGAAAGACAGCAGUGUGGGGGGAACCGUCCAUACGGGCAGAUCUUUGGAUGGGGGACCUGGUCAUCCAUUUCACCCGGAUAUCAGCAUAGACAUGAACUCCCGUACAGCGACUAACGGUUCGGCUGACAGGUCAGAGUGGCCACCGAGUAGAAGAUCGCUGUCACAUGAUAACUUCCACCAGCUUGCCUACACCCAGAAGCAGGGAACAGCUCAGGAGCCAGAAUGAUUCUGCCAGGUUUUACCUGUCAGCCUUAGUAAUCAGCAACCCUGGCGGGCUAAUUGGUCCCAGAAACGGAGUAGCCUAGUGGCAGGAAUGGGCCCAUAACAUGGGGUGCCACUAAUCAAGGCUGAUCGAGUCGCCGCCACUACAGCCACACCCUGAGCCUGCCAACCGGAAGAUCGAUGCGGGGUCCGUGACACAGCGCCUCUCUAGAGGAAAGUGACUUGCCUCUUAUUAACUUAGCCAGGAAAACGGGACACCCAGAUCCUGGAGAAGUUACUGGCGGCAUGAACUCAUUUUGUGGAGACAGUGGCUCUGAGUGGCCAGGGUGGUGCACGGGACGUGAGGGGCGACCAGAGCCCCCGGACCCACCCUGUCUGACGCCAGGCGCUCCUCAAUCCGGGACACCUCUAAGAAGUCGUCGCAACUAACAUCUCUCCUAAAAUCAGGAUGAUUGAACAGCCUCACAUAGUACUUGAAGCAAAGCCAACUUCCUCAGAUCUCCUCCAAGGUCCUGCGCAUUCUAACCCUGCACUUCUCUCCAUCUCAUCGCCGUUCUUCUCCUUCUUGCUUGUGCUCUGGACGCAUCGUGCUCUCCACCUGACACCCCCUCUUCCCGUUGGGUGUCCCUGCAGUCUCAGUAAGCCCGCACGGACCCCUCGGUUUAGAGCUGCACCCUACUCCCCACGCCACAGUCCCCCACCCAGCCCCGAUCUCUCCAUCGCAUUUAACAGCUCCUUGUACAUUAUGUAAUUGUCAGCACCCUCUUCAUCAACAAAAGGACUCUGAUAUAGACACGUAAACUACA